AGAUGUUAAAAGCAAGAGACAUGGGAGAGCAUCAUUCCUUUGAGAUUUUAUAACUCAAACCAACUUUGGAGUUGUCUGAUUUGGAGAGUCAUUAUUCUUGGUCUUCGCUCUUAAAGGCCACUGAUGAAGAACAGGCGGUGACUAGGAUGAAUCCUGGUCAGAGAGUAGAAUCUUCUUUCCCCUAAACAGCGGUGGUUUUAAAGAAGGACGCUGCCCUGGAUGAUGUAGAAGAUGUCACAUGCUGUGCUGAUGGGGUUUCUUCAUGAUUACAUCAGUUAUGCUAAAGAGAUCAUGAAAAUUGACCGUGAUGCAUGAUCUGUAUUCAUGGACUAUGAAACAAACUGUAAGUGUAUAAUUUGUAAAAAAAAAAAAAAAAGUUAAAUGCUUUUUCUGUGUUGUUUAGUAGAAGAGUUUACACUCUAUCAUUCAUACACCUGCUCACAUUCUUUCACACACACACACAUGCGUCUGUUAAAUGUUAUAAUAUCAAAGUUAAUGUUGUGAUUUAUUUGUGUACUGUCAUGCCAGAAUAGUUGG